AAUGAGAUGGCUGAAUUAGGCAGUAAACUGUAAAUUUACUUAUGAAUUAAAUUCUCUCAUU
rnacentral:tRNA from 1 species